GAUGAACGCUGGCGGAGUGCCUAACACAUGCAAGUCGAGCGGCAGCGCGAAGAAUUUAUUCUUUGGCGGCGAGCGGCGGACGGCUGAGUAACGCGUGGGAACAUGCCCCAAAGUGAGGGAUAAGCAUCGGAAACGGUGUCUAAUACCGCAUAUGAUCUUCGGAUUAAAGGAUUUAUCCGCUUUGGGAAUGGCCUGCGUAC
rnacentral:rRNA from 1 species